rnacentral:rRNA from 1 species
CCUACGGGAGGCAGCAGUGAGGAAUAUUGGUCAAUGGACGAGAGUCUGAACCAGCCAAGUAGCGUGAAGGAUGAUUGCCCUAUGGGUUGUAAACUUCUUUUAUAUGGGAAUAAAACGUUCCACGUGUGGGAUUUUGUAUGUACCAUAUGAAUAAGGAUCGGCUAACUCCGUGCCAGCAGCCGCGGUAAUACGGAGGAUCCGAGCGUUAUCCGGAUUUAUUGGGUUUAAAGGGAGCGUAGGUGGAUUGUUAAGUCAGUUGUGAAAGUUUGCGGCUCAACCGUAAAAUUGCAGUUGAAACUGGCAGUCUUGAGUACAGUAGAGGUGGGCGGAAUUCGUGGUGUAGCGGUGAAAUGCUUAGAUAUCACGAAGAACUCCGAUUGCGAAGGCAGUUCACUGGACUGCAACUGACACUGAGGCUCGAAAGUGUGGGUAUCAAACAGGAUUAGAUACCUUUGUAGUC